GUCAGGAUGGCCGAUCGGUCUAAGGCGCCGCGUUUUUUAUUCUCUGUGGGCGUGGGUUCGAAUCCCACUUCUGAUA